rnacentral:rRNA from 1 species
ACUCGAGUGGCGAACGGGUGAGUAACACGUGGGUGAUCUGCCCUGCACUUCGGGAUAAGCUUGGGAAACUGGGUCUAAUACCGGAUAGGAGCUCCUGCUGCAUGGUGGGGGUUGGAAAGUUUCGGCGGUUGGGGAUGGACUCGCGGCUUAUCAGCUUGUUGGUGGGGUAGUGGCUUACCAAGGCUUUGACGGGUAGCCGGCCUGAGAGGGUGACCGGCCACAUUGGGACUGAGAUACGGCCCAG